rnacentral:rRNA from 1 species
GACGAACGCUGGCGGCGUGCCUAAUACAUGCAAGUCGAGCGCAGGAAAUCGACGGAACCCUUCGGGGGGAAGUCGACGGAAUGAGCGGCGGACGGGUGAGUAACACGUAAAGAACCUGCCCUCAGGUCCGGGAUAACCACGAGAAACCGGGGCUCAUACCGGAUGGGUCAUCGGACCGCAUGGUCCGAGGAUGAAAGGCGCUUCGGCGUCGCCUGGGGAUGGCUUUGCGGUGCAUUAGCUUGUUGGUGGGGUAAUGGCCCACCAAGGCGACGAUGCAUAGCCGACCUGGGAGGGUGAUCGGCCACACUGGGACUGAGACACGGCCCAGACUCCUACGGGAGGCAGCAGUAGGGAAUCUUCCACAAUGGACGAAAGUCUGAUGGAGCAACGCCGCGUGAACGAUGAAGGCCUUCGGGUCGUAAAGUUCUGUUGUAAGGGAAGAACAAGUGCCGCAGGCAAUGGCGGCACCUUGACGGUACCUUGCGAGAAAGCCACGGCUAACUACGUGCCAGCCGCCGCCGUAA